rnacentral:lncRNA from 1 species
GGCUGAUCCCUCAUGAAUAUGUAGAUUACUCUCACCCUUCACCUCGCUCUGGAAAAACCAGCCACCAUGUUGUAAGGAUGCUCAAGUAGCACUAUGGAGAUUCACACGUGGCAAAGAGCUGAGGCCUCCCACCAACAGCCACAUGAGGGAGCCAGAGUAGGAGUGGCUCCUCCAGCCCCAGUCGAACCUUCAGAUGUGACAGACUUGGCUGCUGACAGUUUGCAAUCUCAUGAGACCCUGAGCCAGAACCACCCAGCUAAAUCAGUCCUGGACUCCUGAUCAACAGAAAUGGUGUAGCCCAGGUGCUGGAUGGGGCCAGAUACACUUGGUCUGUGUGGAUGACAGAGAGAGG